UACGGAAGGCAGCAGUGGGGAAUAUUGCACAAUGGGCGCAAGCCUGAUGCAGCCAUGCCGCGUGUAUGAAGAAGGCCUUCGGGUUGUAAAGUACUUUCAGUCGUGAGGAAGGUGUUAAGGUUAAUAACCUUAGCAAUUGACGUUAGCGACAGAAGAAGCACCGGCUAACUCCGUGCCAGCAGCCGCGGUAAUACGGAGGGUGCGAGCGUUAAUCGGAAUUACUGGGCGUUAAAGGGCACGCAGGCGGUUAAUUAAGUUGGAUGUGAAAUCCCCGGGCUUAACCUGGGAAUGGCAUUCAAGACUGGUUAGCUAGAGUCUUGUAGAGGGGGUAGAAUUCCAUGUGUAGCGGUGAAAUGCGUAGAGAUGUGGAGGAAUACCGGUGGCGAAGGCGGCCCCUGGACAAAGGACUGACGCUCAUGUGCGAAAGCGUGGGGAGCAAAC
rnacentral:rRNA from 1 species